rnacentral:rRNA from 1 species
GACGAACGCUGGCGGCGUGCUUAACACAUGCAAGUCGAACGGAAAGGCCCUGCUUUUGUGGGGUGCUCGAGUGGCGAACGGGUGAGUAACACGUGAGUAACCUGCCCUUGACUUUGGGAUAACUUCAGGAAACUGGGGCUAAUACCGGAUAGGAGCUCCUGCUGCAUGGUGGGGGUUGGAAAGUUUCGGCGGUUGGGGAUGGACUCGCGGCUUAUCAGCUUGUUGGUGGGGUAGUGGCUUACCAAGGCUUUGACGGGUAGCCGGCCUGGGAGGGUGACCGGCCACAAUGGGACUGCGAUACGGCCCAGACUCCUACGGGAGGCAGCAGUGGGGAAUAUGGCACAAUGGGCGGAAGCCUGAUGCAGCAACGCCGCGUGCGGGAUGACGGCCUUCGAGUUGUAAACCGCUUUCGCCUGUGACGAAGCGUGAGUGACGGUAAUGGGUAAAGAAGCACCGGCUAACUACGUG